rnacentral:tRNA from 1 species
UGCUCCGUGGUGUAAUUGGCAACACGUCUGACUCUGGAUCAGAAAAGUUCAGGUUCGAGCCCUGACGGAGCAACUA